AUGCCAUCUAUAAAUAAAAAAACGUUUCACACAAGGGAAUCCUUGCAUUGGCCGGCCCAUGCGUUCGGGCCCUCCUAUACUGCGCUCUGUGCACUACAAGAAGAUGCAGCACGCCCGUUUGGGCAGCCCCAUGUCCGGGCGGCCUGCUUCAUAAAUUUCGUUUUUUCUUUUUCUUUUUUUACUUUAUUAAUUUGGUACUUUAAAAAAGUUUCUAAAAUUAAAAAAAUAAGAAUUUUGAAAAAAUGUUUAAUGAAUCAUCAAAUGUUUGUGGAUUCAAAAACUAUUAGCGAUUUUGUAAAAAAAAUGUUUGCUUAUUAA
rnacentral:rRNA from 1 species